rnacentral:rRNA from 1 species
CCUACGGGUGACAGCAGUGAGGAAUAUUGGUCAAUGGUGGCAACCCUGACCCAGCCAUGCCGCGUGAGUGAAGAAGGUCUUCGGAUUGUAAAGCUCUUUCUGACGGGACGCAGAUGCCGGUAGCCUCUAAAGAAGCACCGUCAAACUACGUGCCAGCAGCCGUGGUAACACGAAGGGUGCGAGCGUUAUUCGGAAUUACUGGGCGUAAGGGGUGUGUAGGCGGAUAUGUAAGUUCGCGGUGAAAUGCCGGGGCUCAACCCCGGAACUGCCAUUAUGACUAUGUAUCUAGAGUAAUGGAGAGGAUAGCGGAAUACGCAGUGUAGAGGUGAAAUUCGUAGAUAGUGGGUAGAACACCGGUUGCGAAGGCGGCUAUCUGGCCACUUACUGACGCUGAGGCACGAAAGCAUGGGGAUCGAACAGGAUUAGAUACCCGAGUAGUC